CUCAGAAGCACUAGGUUUGAGAUCUGAGACCCUCAAGUGCAUGGAUUGCCUGAAAACUUUGCUUAUGAUCUGUCAUUAUUACCCACCUUGUCCACAACCAGACCUAACUUUAGGGAUAAGUAAACACUCAGACAACUCCUUCCUCACGGUUCUUCUUCAAGACAACAUCGGUGGUCUUCAAAUUCUUCAUCAAGACUCUUGGGUCGAUGUCUCUCCUCUUCCCGGAGCUCUCGUCAUCAACAUCGGAGAUUUCUUGCAGGUACAGUAAAAUUAUCAUUAUAAAAAAAAAAUCUACAAAUACUUUAAGAUUAUAUAAGUGUCUUUUGUUUAUAUUCUUACGUUGGAUUUGAUAUUGAUAUUGCAGCUUAUAACGAACGAUAAGUUUGUUAGUGUGGAGCAUAGAGUUCUUGCGAACAGAAAAGGACCAAGGAUUUCAGUAGCUAGCUUUUUCAGCUCAAGUAUACGUCCAAAUUCAAGAGUUUAUGGACCGAUGAAAGAGCUUGUGUCGGAAGAAAACCCUCCAAAGUACAGAGACACAACCAUAAUAGACUACUCCAAAGGAUUCUUUGAGACAGGUCUUGAUGGAACAUCGCAUCUCUCUAAAUUGAGGAUAUGAUAAAAUAUAAACGACAGGUUUAUAUUUUUGUACAACUUUGUUUGGUUCAGUUACUCUAUUUCUCGAGCUUUGCAAUAACUAAAUCAAUGUAUCAAAACUUAGAAAGAAGCGUGUGUGUCUAUCAAUGUAUGUGUGUAUGUUAAUCUACUAUGUUUAAAUAUAAAUCUAUCUUUUGAUGUAGUGGUAAAAAAAAGACACUCAAUUUCAGCUAAUCUAGUCCGUAUAUUAUCCCAAAAAGUACCGAAGAAACAAAUUCAAUUACGACAACUUAUUAUAGUCAAAGUGAGAGAAAGAUACAGUGAAAGAGACAACAUUAAUAUAUAAAUAUGUAAUCAUCAUUGAUGAUGAUCUACUAGUUCCGGUCAAAAUACACAACUCCUAAAUCGUCCUCUUUAAUCUUAAUUCAUUUUGCUUUUUCCUUAGAAAGAAGCAAGAAACAGUAAAAUGGCUAAAAACUCUAUCGAGUUCGAUUGUUACACUGAGCGCAAAGCUUUCGACGAGACAAAAGAAGGUGUAAAGGGGCUCAUCGACGCUAAAAUCACUGAGAUCCCUCGCAUUUUCCACAUCCCUAAAGAUACCUUACGGGACAAGAAACCCUCUGUCUCUGUUUCAGACCUAGCGAUCCCUACCAUCGACUUUGCGAGCAUCGGUGUGGACGCAGCGUCACGUGAAAUCGUCGUAGAGAAAGUUAAAUAUGCGGUGGAGAAUUGGGGAUUCUUCCAGGUGAUUAACCAUGGUGUUCCUUUAGACGUUCUUGAAGAUAUUAAAGAUGCAGUUCGUAGGUUUCACGAGGAAGAAGAUCAUGCCGUCAAGAAAUCAUAUUACUCACUUGAUUUCACCAAGAACAGAUUUGCAUACAGUAGCAAUUUUGAUCUCUAUAGUUCUUCACCGUCUCUAACUUGGAGAGAUUCUAUCUCUUGUUACAUGGCUCCUGAUCCUCCCACUCCUGAGGAGCUCCCAGAGACUUGCAGGUAACGUAAACAUACUAACUUCAACUUCAACCAAUGGCAAAAUUGAAUAGUCAAGACUUUGUUGAGAGUGAUUAGUUCUAAAAGUAUUGAUUUAUUUCAGGGAUGCUAUGAUUGAAUACUCAAAGCAUGUGCUGAGUUUAGGCGAUUUGCUCUUUGAGCUUCUCUCAGAAGCACUAGGUUUGAAAUAUGAGAUCCUUAAGAGCAUGGACUGCUUGAAGAGUUUGCUUAUGAUCUGCCAUUAUUACCCACCUUGUCCACAACCUGACCUAACUUUAGGGAUAAGUAAACACUCGGACAACUCCUUCCUCACGGUUCUUCUUCAAGACAACAUCGGUGGUCUUCAAAUUCUUCAUCAAGACUCUUG
rnacentral:lncRNA from 1 species